UAUCUACACUAGGGGUGCUGAAAAAGCUGAGAUGUGAACGUGGAAGUGCGUUCCGAUCCCUUAUUACCCGAUCUAGAUAAUACUAGCGUGGGGAAGUGUAGUAGUAUUGGU
rnacentral:ncRNA from 2 species